GCACACUUUAUCUUAUUUUACAAAAAUGAUACAUUUUGUAUCCCUAAUCCUAACAGUAUAACCGCCGUUCCCUCUUUUUCUUCCUCUGCCUCUACCCUCCUCCCUUCUUCACUGCAACAACCCCGUUCCAUCACCACCAUCCCCUCCAUCCCCUUCGACCAUCACCAACUCCAACACCACCACGGCUCCAUUUCCUUCAUCACCCCUCCAACCAUCUCUUCUACCGCCUACUCACUCUCUCGCUCACUUUUUUGUCUUCCUCGUCCGAGAUGGGUAAGAGAAAAAUACUCCAACCCAAACCCACAAACGACGUCGUUUCUAAGUCAAAGAAGAAGUCCAAGGGUUCCUCAUCUACCCCUAACCCCGAAGACCGCUGCUUUGUUGGAAUUCGGAUUCCGCCAAACGAGGCCAGGGCCAAAUGGCCUGCGCGCAAUAGAGGAGCGGUAUAAUAUUGCAAUGAAAAGAUUGAAAAUAGUAACGUUUUGAAAGCCAAGUGCCAUUACCAUCAAGCUACGGGGUAGACGGGGUCCUUUUUUAGCUUAAUGAUCAUGUCUAUGUUAAGCAUUGCAAUUGGUACUAGUCAUUUUCAAAUUUUGGUGGUUGUGGCGGCACAGAAGGGUGAAGGGUAGAGGUAGAGGAAGCAGGAGUGGCGGUUAUAUUGUUAGGGUUAGGAAUUGAGUUUGGAGAUGAAAGGAGAUGAAAGGUGAGGGAUAUUUAUGAAAUUAUCAAUAAAAAUUUAAAAAUUGAUCAUUUUUGUCGAACAAAAUGAAUCUUAUAUAGGUAUAACUUUAGUUUCAAUUUUUUA